CUUCAUCAGCGACUCAUGAUGCUCAUCUCUACAGCCCAGAGGACAUUUAAAGAACUAAAUAAAGAUAUAGAAGGCGGCCCCUUCUCUCAUCAGUAAGCCUUACCAUCUAAGGGACACUCUGGACAUCGGAAGAUUCCAAGUCGUCUCUUAUGGAGGAUUCAUCUGGCGACUCAGCAGGUUAGUGAAGAAAAAGUUAGAAGAAUAUUACCCUAAAUCACGGUCAGGUGAUAAGGGUCUGCAUUAUGACAGCUGGAACUGAAGUGAAUGAAAUAAAUGUGAGCACCACAAA